rnacentral:lncRNA from 1 species
AGAUACCCUCAAGAUGAAGGAGGCAUGGGGCUUUCCAGGGUGUCUUAAGAAUUCUGGGAAGUGGGGCAUUGGAAAUUCUGGAUUUUCCUCUUGAAGGAGUAGGGGUGGGGAGGCACAGAAUACUGGCAAAAUGUGAACCGGAUGGGACGUGUAGCCUUGAGCGUAAUUUGGAGGUAAAAUCUCCAGCACCUUAACUGUGACUUGGGACCCCUGAUGAGUCCCGCAGGGAGCACCACUCAGCAUGGGGGAAAAGAGUGCUUAGUUCAGUUACACAUGUUAAGAAAUCAGAAACAUCGUGAAAGAGACAGCACCCCCUCUACCCCCCAUCCCACUUUGGACUAUGACAAUUAACUUGAUUGAUCAUUCCUUUUCCUGUUUGGGACUUUCCAAGGUGUGUGUCUAUAUGUGAAAGGAGAGUACUGUUUGGAUAGAGAGAAAGGGAGCAGAGCACCUCGUUCGUAGUCUUUGUACCUAAAAAAGGCAAGUGAAUGAAGCAUCGGAGACCUGGGUUGCAUGUUGGCUCUUCCAACUAAAUAGCUGUGUGAUCUGGGUCCAGCUUCCUAACCUCUCUGAGCCUCAGUUACUACAUCAGUAAAAUAGGGAUAAUAAGAGCCACCAUGCCCAGCUCAGGGUUGUUGUGAGGACUGGGUGAGAGGCAUAAAGCUCUCUUUAUGUGCAUCCUAAAGCUCAAAUCUGAGGUCUUGGUUAGGAAAAAAGUUUAACCAACUUACACUAACGUCGUACUCUUCCAUCAGGGUAACUUAAACAGGGAUGUUCUCUGCACGUAUUGGGAGGGGAAAUUUCGAGAACCUCUGGGUGGUCAUUACCUGCUUCUCCUUUGGAGGAGACGGUUCUCUUCUGCUUUCCAGAGGUUAUUUGGAGAAGCCAUUUGCUAAGACACGGCAGUGACCAUGUAGGAGCAGAAGGGACCAAUGACCAACUUGCUAAGACUCAGUGCAACUCCUAAAAGCCAGCUGAGAAUCAAGCUGUGCUCAGGAAGGCUGGAUAACUGUAGACAUUUAGGAGUUCAAGAUGACAAGAGUGGCCCCAUCUUUUGGUAAUUCAGAGAAAAUAUAAUUGGAGAGGGAAUAACUCCAACUGUAGUCUUAUUAUUACUGCAUCUGCAAAGCCCUAUCAUAUGACGAAUCUAUAGAGAUCUUAUUCCAAAGGGCAGACAUCCAAGAGGGAAGUCAGAAGCCUUCCGAGGAAGUUGGUGACAUUAGUGACCUGAGCUGGGCAGGACUGAAUAAGUGAGUGUCAUGAGCAAGGUAUUUGGCCAUCUCACCACAGGUCAGCUGAGAAGGAGAGGUAUACCAUAAGUUAAGUGGGAGAUUGGAUGGGGGUGCAGAAUUCUGUUUGGGGGAGAAAGCCGUCUUGGAUUAGCUGGGGCAGGGAGCUCCCAGAGAGUACCAGAAAAUAUUCCCAGAGGGAGGAAGAUCAAGUUCAGAUAGUGAUUGGAGAAGGGGCCGCAGGGUCAGGCUGACCUCACCUGAAGCCUCAAUAAGGCGUCGUUAGGAUGAGGCAGAGAAGAGCCCGUAUGUAAAAAGGCAUUUAGGAAGUAGGUUUGAGGAGGUUUGGAAAGGCAAUCUGACUUGUCUUCGGAGGAGGUUUGAACUGGUUGGAUGAAGAGCCAAGAGAAAUGGGGUUGAAAAACGGAAUCAGGAUCUUGGUACCUCUGGUGUCAGCAAAUUUUUCUUAGUUGCCCCCAGGGCAGGAAUAUGUGUUGUAAACUCUCAUUCCUUUGUGUACUUUAUAUCUUUCUUCUGUUUCUUAAUAAAUUCCUUUGUGUACUUUAUAUCUUUCUUCUGUUUCUUAAUAAAUUC